rnacentral:rRNA from 1 species
GAUGAACGCUGGCGGCGUGCCUAAUACAUGCAAGUCGAGCGAGCAGACGAGGAGCUUGCUCCUCUGACGUUAGCGGCGGACGGGUGAGUAACACGUGGAUAACCUACCUAUAAGACUGGGAUAACUUCGGGAAACCGGAGCUAAUACCGGAUAAUAUAUUGAACCGCAUGGUUCAAUAGUGAAAGACGGUUUUGCUGUCACUUAUAGAUGGAUCCGCGCCGCAUUAGCUAGUUGGUAAGGUAACGGCUUACCAAGGCGACGAUGCGUAGCCGACCUGAGCGGGUGGUCGGCCACACUGGAACUGAGACACGGCCCCGACUCCGACGGGAGGCAGCAGUAGGGAAUCUUCCGCAAUGGGCGAAUGCCUAACGGAGCAACGCCGCGUGAGUGAUGAAGGUCUUCGGAUCGUAAAACUCUGUUAUUAGGGAAGAACAAAUGUGUAAGUAACUAUGCACGUCUUGACGGUACCUAGUCAGAAAGCCACGGCUAACUACGUG